rnacentral:rRNA from 1 species
UACGUAGGUGGCAAGCGUUGUCCGGAUUUAUUGGGUUUAAAGGGUGCGUAGGCGGCCCUGUAAGUCAGUGCUGAAAUAUCCCGGCUUAACCGGGAGGGUGGCAUUGAUACUGCGGGGCUAGAGUACAGAUGAGGUAGGCGGAAUUGACGGUGUAGCGGUGAAAUGCUUAGAUAUCGGAAGGAACAUCAGUGGCGAAGGCGACUUCCUGGACCAAUACUGACGCUCAGGUGCGAAAGCGUGGGGAGCAAACAGG